rnacentral:misc_RNA from 1 species
GAAAUGCGAUAAGUAGUGUGAAUUGCAGAAUUCAGUGAAUCAUCGAAUCUUUGAACGCACAUUGCGCCCCUUGGUAUUCCAUGGGGCAUGCCUGUUCGAGCGUCAUUUGUACCCUCAAGCUCUGCUUGGUGUUGGGUGUUUGUCCCCGUCUCCGCGCGUGGACUCGCCCCAAAGUGAUUGGCAGCCGGCGUACUGGUCCCGGAGCGCAGCACAUGUCGCGCAAACGAGUGCCUUGGUACGGCGGCGUCCAUAAGCCCCUCUCUCACGCUCUUGACCUCGGAUCAGGUAGGGAUACCCGCUGAACCUAAGC